rnacentral:rRNA from 1 species
UACAGAGGGGGCAAGCGUUGUUCGGAAUUACUGGGCGUAAAGGGCGCGUAGGCGGCCUUCUAAGUCGAACGUGAAAUCCCCGGGCUCAACCCGGGAACUGCGUCCGAUACUGGAAGGCUUGAAUUCGGGAGAGGGAUGCGGAAUUCCAGGUGUAGCGGUGAAAUGCGUAGAUAUCUGGAGGAACACCGGUGGCGAAGGCGGCACCCUGGACCGGCAUUGACGCUGAGGCGCGAAAGCCAGGGGAGCAAACGGG